ACCACUGCCUAGAGACUCAGGAAAUUGCCUGCCUGUGACGUCACUGUGACGCGUAAUUUAACGCCGCUUUAUAAUAGAGCUCUUACAGCAGCAGAAAGAGAGGAACGAGGCGGCGUUGGGCUUCAGGUUGUGUGGAGAUCUCAACAUACCAGAACAAACUGAAAACGUCGUGUUUCUUUGUUGCUUUUGGAAAUUGCGCCAGCCUACGAAAAAGAAGGAAACGGGCAAAGAAACCGCAGAUCAGGCAACCUCUGCUAAGUGCUCUUUUCCCACAGGAGCCAUGGUGGCAGCAGUCCUUAAGCUCUAUUUAAUUGGCACAGCUCUGACUGUCCUUGCUAUCAUUUAUGGAAUAGUGGACUCCGUUGGCGGCCUGAUGUACAUCCAGGACCAUGACUACAUUCUGGAUGUAGACCACCAUACACAGAGAGAACUCUCAUCAAGUAGCCACCAGAGAGGAUCGUCUGUGAAUAAGAACAUUGGCUCAUAAGAGAAAUAUCUUGGCCGUGAAGCAGAUCUGCUGGGUGGACAUGCUGGACACUGUGGCAAUGGACUGAGAGACAGUGAGACUUUAUAAUAACCGUACUAGUUCCAUGGUUGUGUAGCUGCAUCAUUGUAAUGUCUGAUUUGUAGGACGUGUUCUGCACUAAGAGUUUAUGCCAAUGCAUAAUCACACAUCACUUAUAUUUGUUUUACUUUGUACCUUCUGCUGUUAAACACUAUAGCAGCUAGUCUGUGUUACAUCUACAAAUUUGAUGACGACUAUAACAUCACUACUGAACAAUGAUUUGCACUAAAAGCAUGAAAGGUUUUGUUUUUUGUUGUGUAUUUGAGUUUUUCUUUUUAAUAAAAGGAUUGAAAUUGCA